GACGAACGCUGGCGGCGUGCUUAACACAUGCAAGUCGAACGGAAAGGCCCUGCUUUUGUGGGGUGCUCGAGUGGCGAACGGGUGAGUAGCACGUGAGUAACCUGCCCUUGACUUUGGGAUAACUUCAGGAAACUGGGGCUAAUACCGGAUAGGAGCUCCUGCUGCAUGGUGGGGGUUGGAAAGUUUCGGCGGUUGGGGAUGGACUCGCGGCUUAUCAGCUUGUUGGUGGGGUAGUGGCUUACCAAGGCUUUGACGGGUAGCCGGCCUGAGAGGGUGACCGGCCACAUUGGGACUGAGAUACGGCCCAGACUCCUACGGGAGGCAGCAGUGGGGAAUAUUGCACAAUGGGCGGAAGCCUGAUGCAGCAACGCCGCGUGCGGGAGGACGGCCUUCGGGUGGUAAACCGCUUUCGCCUGUGACGAAGCGUGAGUGACGGUAAUGGGUAAAGAAGCACCGGCUAACUACGU
rnacentral:rRNA from 1 species